rnacentral:rRNA from 1 species
GAGCUAAUACAUGCUAAAAAUCCCGACUCCGGAAGGGAUGUGUUUAUUAGAUUCAAAACCAAUGCCCCCUGGGCUCACUGGUGAUUCAUGAUAACCGCUCGAAUCGCACGGCCUUGCGCUGGCGAUGGUUCAUUCAAAUUUCUUCCCUAUCAACUUUCGAUGUUUGGGUAGUGGCCAAACAUGGUUGCAACGGGUAACGGAGGGUUAGGGCUCGACCCCGGAGAAGGAGCCUGAGAGACGGCUACUACAUCCAAGGAAGGCAGCAGGCGCGCAAAUUACCCAAUCCCGACACGGGGAGGUAGUGACAAUAAAUACCGAUAUAGGGCUCUUUUGGGUCUUAUAAUUGGAAUGAGUACAAUUUAAAUCCCUUAACGAGGAACAAUUGGAGGGCAAGUCUGGUGCCAGCAGCCGCGGUAAUUCCAGCUCCAAUAGCGUAUAUUAAAGUUGUUGUGGUUAAAAAGCUCGUAGUUGAACCUUGGGCCUGGCUGGCCGGUCCGCCUCACCGCGUGCACUGGUCCGGCCGGGCCUUUCCCUCCGCGGAACCCCAUGCCCUUCACUGGGCGUGGCGGGGAAACGGGACUUUUACUUUGAAAAAAUUAGAGUGCUCCAGGCAGGCCUAUGCUCGAAUACAUUAGCAUGGAAUAAUGAAAUAGGACGCGCGGUUCUGUUUUGUUGGUUUCUAGGACCGCCGUAAUGAUUGAUAGGGACAGUCGGGGGCGUCAGUAUUCAACCGUCAGAGGUGAAAUUCUUGGACCGGUUGAAGACUAACUACUGCGAAAGCAUUCGCC